GGGUUGUGAGGUUAAGCGACUAAGCGUACACGGUGGAUGCCCUGGCAGUCAGAGGCGAUGAAGGACGUGCUAAUCUGCGAUAAGCGUCGGUAAGGUGAUAUGAACCGUUAUAACCGGCGAUUUCCGAAUGGGGAAACCCAGUGUGUUUCGACACACUAUCAUUAACUGAAUCCAUAGGUUAAUGAGGCGAACCGGGGGAACUGAAACAUCUAAGUACCCCGAGGAAAAGAAAUCAACCGAGAUUCCCCCAGUAGCGGCGAGCGAACGGGGAGCAGCCCAGAGCCUGAAUCAGUGUGUGUGUUAGUGGAAGCGUCUGGAAAGGCGCGCGAUACAGGGUGACAGCCCCGUACACAAAAAUGCACAUGCUGUGAGCUCGAUGAGUAGGGCGGGACACGUGGUAUCCUGUCUGAAUAUGGGGGGACCAUCCUCCAAGGCUAAAUACUCCUGACUGACCGAUAGUGAACCAGUACCGUGAGGGAAAGGCGAAAAGAACCCCGGCGAGGGGAGUGAAAAAGAACCUGAAACCGUGUACGUACAAGCAGUGGGAGCACGCUUAGGCGUGUGACUGCGUACCUUUUGUAUAAUGGGUCAGCGACUUAUAUUCUGUAGCAAGGUUAACCGAAUAGGGGAGCCGAAGGGAAACCGAGUCUUAACUGGGCGUUAAGUUGCAGGGUAUAGACCCGAAACCCGGUGAUCUAGCCAUGGGCAGGUUGAAGGUUGGGUAACACUAACUGGAGGACCGAACCGACUAAUGUUGAAAAAUUAGCGGAUGACUUGUGGCUGGGGGUGAAAGGCCAAUCAAACCGGGAGAUAGCUGGUUCUCCCCGAAAGCUAUUUAGGUAGCGCCUCGUGAAUUCAUCUCCGGGGGUAGAGCACUGUUUCGGCAAGGGGGUCAUCCCGACUUACCAACCCGAUGCAAACUACGAAUACCGGAGAAUGUUAUCACGGGAGACACACGGCGGGUGCUAACGUCCGUCGUGAAGAGGGAAACAACCCAGACCGCCAGCUAAGGUCCCAAAGUCAUGGUUAAGUGGGAAACGAUGUGGGAAGGCCCAGACAGCCAGGAUGUUGGCUUAGAAGCAGCCAUCAUUUAAAGAAAGCGUAAUAGCUCACUGGUCGAGUCGGCCUGCGCGGAAGAUGUAACGGGGCUAAACCAUGCACCGAAGCUGCGGCAGCGACGCUUAUGCGUUGUUGGGUAGGGGAGCGUUCUGUAAGCCUGUGAAGGUGUGCUGUGAGGCAUGCUGGAGGUAUCAGAAGUGCGAAUGCUGACAUAAGUAACGAUAAAGCGGGUGAAAAGCCCGCUCGCCGGAAGACCAAGGGUUCCUGUCCAACGUUAAUCGGGGCAGGGUGAGUCGACCCCUAAGGCGAGGCCGAAAGGCGUAGUCGAUGGGAAACAGGUUAAUAUUCCUGUACUUGGUGUUACUGCGAAGGGGGGACGGAGAAGGCUAUGUUGGCCGGGCGACGGUUGUCCCGGUUUAAGCGUGUAGGCUGGUUUUCCAGGCAAAUCCGGAAAAUCAAGGCUGAGGCGUGAUGACGAGGCACUACGGUGCUGAAGCAACAAAUGCCCUGCUUCCAGGAAAAGCCUCUAAGCAUCAGGUAACAUCAAAUCGUACCCCAAACCGACACAGGUGGUCAGGUAGAGAAUACCAAGGCGCUUGAGAGAACUCGGGUGAAGGAACUAGGCAAAAUGGUGCCGUAACUUCGGGAGAAGGCACGCUGAUAUGUAGGUGAAGUCCCUCGCGGAUGGAGCUGAAAUCAGUCGAAGAUACCAGCUGGCUGCAACUGUUUAUUAAAAACACAGCACUGUGCAAACACGAAAGUGGACGUAUACGGUGUGACGCCUGCCCGGUGCCGGAAGGUUAAUUGAUGGGGUUAGCGCAAGCGAAGCUCUUGAUCGAAGCCCCGGUAAACGGCGGCCGUAACUAUAACGGUCCUAAGGUAGCGAAAUUCCUUGUCGGGUAAGUUCCGACCUGCACGAAUGGCGUAAUGAUGGCCAGGCUGUCUCCACCCGAGACUCAGUGAAAUUGAACUCGCUGUGAAGAUGCAGUGUACCCGCGGCAAGACGGAAAGACCCCGUGAACCUUUACUAUAGCUUGACACUGAACAUUGAGCCUUGAUGUGUAGGAUAGGUGGGAGGCUUUGAAGUGUGGACGCCAGUCUGCAUGGAGCCGACCUUGAAAUACCACCCUUUAAUGUUUGAUGUUCUAACGUUGACCCGUAAUCCGGGUUGCGGACAGUGUCUGGUGGGUAGUUUGACUGGGGCGGUCUCCUCCUAAAGAGUAACGGAGGAGCACGAAGGUUGGCUAAUCCUGGUCGGACAUCAGGAGGUUAGUGCAAUGGCAUAAGCCAGCUUGACUGCGAGCGUGACGGCGCGAGCAGGUGCGAAAGCAGGUCAUAGUGAUCCGGUGGUUCUGAAUGGAAGGGCCAUCGCUCAACGGAUAAAAGGUACUCCGGGGAUAACAGGCUGAUACCGCCCAAGAGUUCAUAUCGACGGCGGUGUUUGGCACCUCGAUGUCGGCUCAUCACAUCCUGGGGCUGAAGUAGGUCCCAAGGGUAUGGCUGUUCGCCAUUUAAAGUGGUACGCGAGCUGGGUUUAGAACGUCGUGAGACAGUUCGGUCCCUAUCUGCCGUGGGCGCUGGAGAACUGAGGGGGGCUGCUCCUAGUACGAGAGGACCGGAGUGGACGCAUCACUGGUGUUCGGGUUGUCAUGCCAAUGGCACUGCCCGGUAGCUAAAUGCGGAAGAGAUAAGUGCUGAAAGCAUCUAAGCACGAAACUUGCCCCGAGAUGAGUUCUCCCUGACUCCUUGAGAGUCCUGAAGGAACGUUGAAGACGACGACGUUGAUAGGCCGGGUGUGUAAGCGCAGCGAUGCGUUGAGCUAACCGGUACUAAUGAACCGUGAGGCUUAACCUUACAACGCCGAAG
rnacentral:rRNA from 1 species